AACUUUUGGCAAUGGAUCACUCGGCUUUCGUAUCGAUGAAGAACGCAGCAAAUCGCGAUAUGUAGUGUGAUCUGCCUAUAGUGAAUCAUCAAAUUUUUGAACGCAUCUUGCACCCCUGGGUAUUCCUGGGGGUACGCCUGUUUCAGUAUCAUUUUAUCUUCUUCAUCUUCUUUGGAUGGGGAAAAAUUACAAUUGGCCCUUGAGACCUGCCUUUUAGGCAACCUUCACGGCUUAAAUUCUUCGGUCAUUUGGACUGGUAAUUACCUUUUGGUAGAUUUUUUCUGCUCUCAAAGUAACCCUAUCCACCCUUUUGACCAACCACCCCAAAACACUUGAUCUGAAAUCAGGCGGGAUUACCCGCUGAACUUAAGCAUAUCAAUAAGCGGAGGCU
rnacentral:misc_RNA from 1 species